rnacentral:rRNA from 1 species
GACGAACCGUGCGAACGUUGUUCGGAUUCACUGGGCUUAAAGGGCGCGUAGGCGGGCGGUCAAGUCGGGGGUGAAAUCUUUCCGCUUAACGGGAAGCGUGCCUCCGAUACUGAUCGCCUCGAGGGAGGUAGGGGCAUGUGGAAUUUCCGGUGUAGCGGUGAAAUGCGUAGAUAUCGGAAAGAACACCAGUGGCGAAGGCGGCUUUCUGGACUCAUACUGACGCUGAGGCACGAAAGCAUGGGGAGCAAACAGG